rnacentral:lncRNA from 1 species
UUCCAACUUUUUUAUUUGAAUUAGAAACAGGAUUGUUUUACAUGACAAUCCCUGUUCCCUUCUCCCACCCGUCCUCCCCUACCCCCCCCAACUAAAACCUUAUCUGUCACAUAUCUUUUCUGCUACCACUGGAUGGUGAGGCCUUCGUAGGGUGUCAUCAGAGUCUUUCUUAUUCUUUGGGAUAGGACCUAGGCCCACCCCCGUGUGUCUUGGCUCAGGGAGUAUUCCUCUAUAUGGAAUGGGCUCCCAAAGUCUACACCUAUGCUAGAGAUAAAUACUGGGUUUCUACAGGAGGUCCCAUAGAUUUCUGAGGUUUCCUCACAGAAACCCAUGUUCUUGGGGUCUGGAUUAGUCCCAUGCUGGUAUUCCAGCUACCAGACUGGGGAGCAAGAGUUCCUGGAUGUUUAGGUCAGUGUGUUUCACCAGCCUGGUCUGGACCUCUGUGGUCUUCACUGGUCCUUCUCUGCAUCUGGGUUCCAGUUCAGAUCAGUGAUUAGUUAUGGGUGUCUGCUUCUACUUCCACCAGCUGCUGGAUGAAGGCAUAUAAGUCAGUCAUCAAUCUCAUAAUCAGGGGAGGGCAUUUAAGAUAGCCUCUCCUCCGUUGCUGAGAUAGUUAGCUGGUGUCAUCUUUGUAGAUCUCCAGACAUUUCCCUAGUGCCUGAUUUCUCAGUAAAUCAAAAAUGUCUCCCUCUAUUAUGAUAUCUCCAUUCUUGUUAUCAUGUAAUCUUCCCCUGACUCAUACUUUCUGCACCCUCAUGUCCUCGUCAUCCCUCUUCUUCUCCCCUUCUCAUUCUCCUAGCUCCCUCCCCCUGGAAUCUUGAAAUUUGCUGGCAAAUGAACUGAACUAGAAGAAACCAUCCUGAGUGAGGUAACCCAGUCACAAAAAGACAAACAUGAGCCUUCAUCAAGUAGUUGAUGGAAGCAGAAGCAGAUACCCACAGCUAAGCACUGGGUCAAACUCCUGGAAUCCAGUUUCAGAGAUGGAGGAGUGAACAAGAAAGCGGUCAAGAUCAUGCUGGGAAAACCUGCAGAAACAGCUGACCUGAGAAAGUGGGAACUCAAGGAUCCCAGUCUGACAGCUGGGGAACCAACAUAGGACCAAAACAGGUCCCCUGAACCUGGGUGUCAGCUAGGAGCACUGGGCAGUCUAUGGGGCCUCUGGCAGUUAAAUCAGGAUGUAUCCCUAGUGCACGAAUGGACUUCAGGGGCCCAUUUCCCAUGGAAGGAUACUCUCUUGGCCUAGAUACACAGGGGAGGGCCUAGUCCCUGCCAAAAAUGACUUCACAGAUUUUGAUGAUCCCUCAUGGAAGGCCUGACCCUCCCUGGGGAGUGGAUGGGAAUUGGGAUAGGGGUGUCGGUGAGGGGUAAGGGAGGGAGAGGGAACUGGGAUUGAUAUGUAAAAUAAGAUUGUUUCUAAUUUAAAUAAAAUUUAUAUUACAAAAAGAUUUCUGAGUGGUUUAGUGGAAUGGGGUGUGCCUGGCCCCAUCAGGAGAAAGAGCAAAGCCAAAGACUGACCGGGAAGGCAACUGGACAAGUAUCUUAUACACUUCAUGAACAAGAUUUUAAAUAUUGUGGAACACACACUCAUAAGUUACUAAAGCUAUAACACAUACUUAUAAGACAUAUAGUUUAUACAGUCAAUUCAUGUUACUAUGACACAUUUCGUUUUAAUUGAUGUGCUAGCUACCUGGACAUCUGAACUGUGAUGCCUGGACCAGUUCAAGGAUCUAUGGGAUUCAUUUUUUUUUGCAUGUGCAUGUGUGUAUAUGUGUUCACAUGUGUGCAGAUAUGGGUAUGAGUAGGAGGGCACAUAUAUGUGAAUGUGGAAGUAUACUUUUAUGGAUCCAUCUUAUAUACGAAGGCAGAAUCUCUCACUUGAAUUCAGAGAUUAAUGAUUUGGCUAAUCUGGCUCUGUAGCUUCUUUGGUAGGGAUGGGGAGUGUCCUCUGUCUCCUCUGCCUUCUCUGCCUCCUCAGCACUCUGAUUACAGCUUUUAUGUGGGUUCUGAGGACCCAGUCUUGUAUUUCACUCACUAAGCCUUCUCUCCAGCCCAGCUGGAGCAUUUAUAUCAACAAUUACUUCUCGAGGAGGUAAGGGCGAGUGGACAGAAAAACAGAUAAACAAAUGACUCCAAAGACUCUCAGCCAGGGUGGGUAUAUACCAAUUGUACUUCGUAACUGUUUAGUUAGAAUUUUGAGCUCACAAGUCCACUCUAGAAGGGCAACAGGCUGGGUCAGCUUAAGAUGCCUUCUCCUUUUGCAAAGGGCCCUGGCUCAGUUGGGUUUGGGUUGCAGGAUGAUCUGGUUCUCAUUUUCCCAAAGGUUUUUCCUGAGGUGCUGAUGGAGCCUUGUCCUCAGUCCUUAGUCUAUUAAAAACAUUGCUGAACUGCCGAGUACAUCCCAGACCUCAUCUGAGUCAUGGGCAGAGGGCAUUUUUCUGCUAAUCAUCCUGGGUCAUGAAAAAGAACCUCAUGGAAAUAGUCCAAGUAUUUCCAGAUCAUUUGGAGGGUGUGGGGUAGUCCAGAUAAACUAGACAUAGAAAUGCUAGCAUUACCUGCUGUUUGUUUACUUAUUGUUUUUCUGAAAUAAGGUCCCAGGUGUCCUAGCUAAAGAUGACUUUGAACUUCUGAUCCUCCAACUUCUACCUCCCAAGAGCUGGGAUUAUAGGCGUGCACUAACUACCACAGUGGUUUUAUGUGAUACUGGAACUUAAACUUAAACUCAGAAUUUUGUGUAUGUGGGCAAAUAUCCUACCAAGUUAGCCACAUCUGCAAUUCCGGUUGUAUCUUUUUAAUACAACUAAUUCAAGCACAUUCCUUUUCAGUGAGUCAUUAAGUCUGUUUCUGGCCAGUGAGCUGCUGGCUGACAGUUAAGUGGCUGGAGAUCUCUGUCUAAAGGACAGAGUGUCUUCCUUCAGUUUUGUUCCCAAGCUGUUCCGGUUAUUACACACAACCAUCCCUAGCCACCGUGCAUUGCUAGGGACAUUGGUUCUGGAAGUGUCCCAGCAAUCCUUCUUCCUUCCCUGCUUACUGUAAUCAAAUGUGCAGCUCACUGAGGUGAUCCAAGUGAAAGACUGGGUCAAGAGCAAGGAGUCAGGCCAUAAGGAGUGAUGUCACUUUAUGCAUAACACCCUGGCUACACUCAGGAGAUAUGUAAAGGGUCUUAGAUGACUAGAAUUGCUAGAUCUUAAAAAAUGUUUUUAGUUUUGCUUUUUGAAACUAUAUAUAUACAUAUAUAUAUGUAUAUAUAUAAUAUAUAUAAUUUCCCCCCUUCCCUUUCCUCCCUUCAACUCUCCUCAUGCACUCCCAUUUGUUCAUUCUUAAAUUCAUUGCUUCUAUUUCUUUGAUUGUUGUGUGGUCUCUGCAAUCUUGAACCUGAUCAUCAUUGUAUUUGCAAUCCUCCUGUUGUAUGACGCUCCUCCAAGCAUGGCAGUCAUUACUGUCUUAAUCCGAAUAACUGUGAUUACUUCCAAGAAACCAUCAUCAAGGUUGGGUCUGUUGAUGUUAG